rnacentral:rRNA from 1 species
GAUGAACGCUGGCGGCGUGCCUAAUACAUGCAAGUCGAGCGAACAGACGAGGCGCUUGCUCCUCUGACGUUAGCGGCGGACGGGUGAGUAACACGUGGAUACCCUCCCUAUAAGACUGGGAUAACUUCGGGAAACCGGAGCUAAUACCGGAUAAUAUAUUGAACCGAAUGGUUCAAUUGUGAAAGACGGUUUUGCUGUCACUUAUAUAGGUAUCCGCGCCGCAUUAGCUAGUUGGUAAGGUAACGGCUUACCAAGGCAACGAUGCGUAGCCGACCUGAGAGGGUGAUCGGCCACACUGGAACUGAGACACGGUCCAGACUCCUACGGGAGGCAGCAGUAGGGAAUCUUCCGCAAUGGGCGAAAGCCUGACGGAGCAACGCCGCGUGAGUGAUGAAGGUCUUCGGAUCGUAAAACUCUGUUAUUAGGGAAGAACAAAUGUGUAAGUAACUAUGCACGUCUUGACGGUACCUAAUCAGAAAGCCACGGCUAACUACGUG